rnacentral:rRNA from 1 species
UGGGGAAUAUUGCACAAUGGACGAAAGUCUGAUGCAGCGAUUCCGCGUGGAGGAUGACGCAUUACGGUGUGUAAACUCCUUUUCUGGUGGAAGACGAAUGACGGUACACCAGGAAUAAGGGACGGCUAACUACGUGCCAGCAGCCGCGGUAAUACGUAGGUCCCAAGCGUUAUCCGGAUUUACUGGGCGUAAAGUGUCCGUAGCCUGAUAUAUAAGUCUGUCUUUAAAUACCUGGACUCAAUCGAGGGAAGGGGAUAGAUACUGUAUAUCUAGAGAUUUUGAGGGGAUAGUGGAAUUUCCGGUGGAGUGGUGAAAUGCGUUGAUAUCGGAAAGAAUGCCGAAAGCGAAAGCAGCUAUCUAUCAAAAAUCUGACGGUGAGGGACGAAAGUUUGGGGAGCAAACGGG